rnacentral:rRNA from 1 species
AGAGUUUGAUCCUGGCUCAGGAUGGACGCUAGCUACAGGCUUAACACAUGCAAGUCGAGGGAAACGACAUCGAAAGCUUGCUUUUGAUGGGCGUCGACCGGCGCACGGGUGAGUAACGCGUAUCCAACCUGCCCACCACUUGAGGAUAACCUUGCGAAAGUAAGACUAAUACCCAAUGAUAUCUCUAGAAGACAUCUGAAAGAGAUUAAAGAUUUAUCGGUGAUGGAUGGGGAUGCGUCUGAUUAGCUUGUUGGCGGGGUAACGGCCCACCAAGGCAACGAUCAGUAGGGGUUCUGAGAGGAAGGUCCCCCACAUUGGAACUGAGACACGGUCCAAACUCCUACGGGAAGCAGCA